rnacentral:rRNA from 1 species
UACGUAGGGUGCAAGCGUUGUCCGGAAUUAUUGGGCGUAAAGAGCUCGUAGGCGGUUUGUCACGUCGGAUGUGAAACCCUGAGGCUCAACCUCAGGCCUGCAUUCGAUACGGGCAGACUAGAAUUCGGCAGGGGAGACUGGAAUUCCUGGUGUAGCGGUGAAAUGCGCAGAUAUCAGAAGGAACACCGGUGGCGAAGGCGGGUCUCUGGGCCGAUACUGACGCUGAGGAGCGAAAGCGUGGGGAGCGAACAGG